rnacentral:lncRNA from 1 species
UUUUAACUGCAAUGAUGCGGUGAAAAUUAUAUGAAGAUGUAUGUUAAAAUGUUCAAUUGUUUCAGCUAGUAAAAAUGUUGGACCAAUAUCGUCAUUAGUGAUGUAUUUCGGAAGUCAUAAAUAUAUACAAAUUUGAAAAUAUGAACAGCUGAUUUUUGGCUUAAUUUGAUGAAAUUAAUGUCAGAAUUAACAUUGACGCCACCCCUCGCCCAUGAAUAUUUUCGCUGAAAUAUUUUAAAUAUACCAUAGACUUUACUUUAAAACCAAAACUGCAAUAGGCGAGGGGUGGCGCCACAUAUGAAAUAAGGUCGAAAGAGAUGAUGAAUUUCUAGAGAAAAUUUCCUAAAAUGAAAA